AUCUAGUUAAUGAGUCCAGAAUAGGACGAAACGCGAGUACUGGAU
rfam:Schistosoma mattheei strain Denwood, Zambia genome assembly, scaffold: SMTD_scaffold0004021